CGAAAGCCUGACGGAGCAAUACCGCGUGAGGGAGGAAGGCUCUUGGGUUGUAAACCUCUUUUCUCUGGGAAUAAAAAAGAAGGUACCAGAGGAAUAAGCAUCGGCUAACUCCGUGCCAGCAGCCGCGGUAAUACGGAGGAUGCAAGCGUUAUCCGGAAUGAUUGGGCGUAAAGCGUCCGCAGGUGGCAUUGAAAGUCUGCUGUCAAAGAGUCUGGCUCAACCAGAUAAAGGCAGUGGAAACUACAAAGCUAGAGUGCGUUCGGGGUAGAGGGAAUUCCUGGUGUAGCGGUGAAAUGCGUAGAGAUCAGGAAGAACACCGGUGGCGAAGGCGCUCUACUAGGCCGCAACUGACACUGAGGGACGAAAGCUAGGGGAGCGAAUGGGAUUAGAUACCCCAGUAGUCCUAGCUGUAAACGAUGGAUACUAGGCGUUGCUUGUAUCGACCCGAGCAGUGCCGUAGCUAACGCGUUAAGUAUCCCGCCUGGGGAGUACGCACGCAAGUGUGAAACUCAAAGGAAUUGACGGGGGCCCGCACAAGCGGUGGAGUAUGUGGUUUAAUUCGAUGCAACGCGAAGAACCUUACCAGGGCUUGACAUGUCGCGAAUCAGGGGGAAACUUCUGAGUGCCUUCGGGAGCGCGAACACAGGUGGUGCAUGGCUGUCGUCAGCUCGUGUCGUGAGAUGUUGGGUUAAGUCCCGCAACGAGCGCAACCCUCGUUUUUAGUUGCCAGCAUUAAGUUGGGCACUCUAAAGAGACUGCCGGUGACAAACCGGAGGAAGGUGGGGAUGACGUCAAGUCAGCAUGCCCCUUACGUCCUGGGCUACACACGUACUACGAUGCGACGGACAGAGGGCAGCAAGCUAGUGAUAGCAAGCAAAUCCCGUAAACCGGCGCUCAGUUCAGAUCGAAGGCUGCAACUCGCCUUCGUGAAGGUGGAAUCGCUAGUAAUUGCAGGUCAGCAUACUGCAGUGAAUUCGUUCCCGGGCCUUGUACACACCGCCCGUCACACCAUGGAAGCUGGUAGUGCCCGAAGUCAUUACCCCAACCUUUCGAGGAGGGGGAUGCCUAAGGCAGGACUGGUGACUGGGGUGAA
rnacentral:rRNA from 1 species